CUGAAGAUCCCUGAGCAGGUUUGUACAUGUGAGCACAGUGUUUGUGGAGGCCAGAAGAAGGCACAGGAGCCCAUGGAGCUGGAGUUACAGGACAUCCUGCUUGCCACCUCACAAUCUCAGGAUGGCAACUCCAGCACUUGGUAAAGAAAGGGGAAAGUCCAAGAGCACACAGCUACCUGAAUUCACACUUAUCCAGGAGUAGAAGCCCAACAAGGGAACCCAUAUUUUCGUGUCACAGAUCAGACAUUAGCUGAAAGGGAAGCAUACUGCCGCUCCAGAUGAAAACAGGGUUCUUCUACGGAGAGUGGAGGUUAUCGAUGGUACUAAAGUUAAUGCUGUACAUUUUAUCAUGACUGCUGAAAGUAAACAUGGGUGAAUUUCAGUACACACACACACACACACACACACACACACACAGUCAGGAAACAGUGAACUUGAGUUGAUAGGAUGGCUCAGUGGGUAAAGGUGGUUGUUGUCUGACCAGUUUACCUGAGUUUGAUCCCUGGGACCCACACAACAGAGGGAGAACAGACUCCAGUAAGUUUUCCUAUGGUGAAUGCACAUGUGUGCACGUGUACACACAAACACAUUAAAUAAAUAAAAUGUUUUAAAAGAUACAAAGCAUCCCAGCUGUGUCUUCAGGUGCGCUGUGGCAGCUGUGUCUUCAGGUGCGCUGUGGCCAGCCUUUUCCUUUUUUUUUCUUUGAGACAAAGUCUUUGCCAUGUAGGCGAGCCAGCUGGCCUUAAACUUAGAGAUUUACCUGUCUCUGCCUCCCAAGUGCUGAGAUUGAAAGUGUGCACCACUGGGUCUGGUCCUUUCCGUCAAUUUUGCCUUCUACCCUCCUCCUGGGUAAUCAAUGACUUGUUUCCUGUCACGACUGACAAAUGCAAAAGUUCUAGACCCUUUAAUAAAUUAAUCACAGAACAUAUACUUUUCUAUGUAGCUUCUUUUGCUCAAUUUUUUGAACCCAUGGAUGUUGUUAUAGGUAGUGGGAUUUCAUCCUUUCUAUUAUUAGGUGGUA